rnacentral:rRNA from 1 species
CUUGACCUCGGAUCAGGUAGGGAUACCCGCUGAACUUAAGCAUAUCAAAAG